rnacentral:rRNA from 1 species
UACGUAGGGGGCAAGCGUUAUCCGGAUUUACUGGGUGUAAAGGGAGCGUAGACGGCAGCGCAAGUCUGGAGUGAAAUGCCGGGGCCCAACCCCGUAACUGCUUUGGAAACUGUGCGGCUCGAGUGCGGGAGAGGUAGGCGGAAUUCCUAGUGUAGCGGUGAAAUGCGUAGAUAUUAGGAGGAACACCAGUGGCGAAGGCGGCUUACUGGACCGUAACUGACGUUGAGGCUCGAAAGCGUGGGGAGCAAACAGG